rnacentral:rRNA from 1 species
UGAACGCUGGCGGCAGGCUUAACACAUGCAAGUCGAGCGAGGACUUCGGUCCUAGCGGCGGACGGGUGAGUAACGCGUGGGAAUGUGCCCUUUGGUACGGAACAACACAGGGAAACUUGUGCUAAUACCGAAUGUGCCCUUCGGGGGAAAGAUUUAUCGCCAUUGGAGCAGCCCGCGUUGGAUUAGGUAGUUGGUGAGGUAAAGGCUCACCAAGCCUACGAUCCAUAGCUGGUCUGAGAGGAUGACCGGCCACACUGGGACUGAGACACGGCCCAGACUCCUACGGAAGGCAGCAGUAGGGAAUCUUGCGCAAUGGGCGAAAGCCUGACGCAGCCAUGCCGCGUGUAUGAUGAAGGUCUUAGGAUUGUAAAAUACUUUCACCGGGGAAGAUAAUGACGGUACCCGGAGAAGAAGCCCCGGCUAACUUCGUGCCAGCCGCCGCUGUAACAC